rnacentral:rRNA from 1 species
GGCGGCAUGCCUUACACAUGCAAGUCGAACGGCAGCACGGGAGCAAGUCCUGGUGGCGAGUGGCGAACGGGUGAGUAAUAUAUCGGAACGUGCCCAGUCGUGGGGAUAACGUAGCGAAAGCUACGCUAAUACCGCAUACGAUCUAUGGAUGAAAGCGGGGGAUCGCAAGACCUCGCGCGAUUGGAGCGGCCGAUAUCAGAUUAGGUAGUUGGUGAGGUAAAGGCUCACCAAGCCGACGAUCUGUAGCUGGUCUGAGAGGACGACCAGCCACACUGGGACUGAGACACGGCCCAGACUCCUACGGGAGGCAGCAGUGGGGAAUUUUGGACAAUGGGCGCAAGCCUGAUCCAGCAAUGCCGCGUGCAGGAUGAAGGCCUUCGGGUUGUAAACUGCUUUUGUACGGAACGAAACGGUGAGCUCUAAUACAGUUUGCUAAUGACGGUACCGUAAGAAUAAGCACCGGCUAACUACGUG